rnacentral:rRNA from 1 species
UGGGGAAUAUUGGACAAUGGACCAAAAGUCUGAUCCAGCAAUUCUGUGUGCACGAUGACGUUUUUCGGAAUGUAAAGUGCUUUCAGUUGGGAAGAAAAAAAAUGACGGUACCAACAGAAGAAGUGACGGCUAAAUACGUGCCAGCAGCCGCGGUAAUACGUAUGUCACAAGCGUUAUCCGGAUUUAUUGGGCGUAAAGCGCGUCUAGGUGGUUAUGUAAGUCUGAUGUGAAAAUGCAGGGCUCAACUCUGUAUUGCGUUGGAAACUGCAUGACUAGAGUACUGGAGAGGUAAGCGGAACUACAAGUGUAGAGGUGAAAUUCGUAGAUAUUUGUAGGAAUGCCGAUGGGGAAGCCAGCUUACUGGACAGAUACUGACGCUAAAGCGCGAAAGCGUGGGUAGCAAACAGGAUUAGAUACCCUGGUAGUCCACGCCGUAACGAUGAUUACUAGGUGUUGGGGGUCGAACCUCAGCGCCCAAGCUAACGCGAUAAGUAAUCCGCCUGGGGAGUACGUACGCAAGUAUG